rfam:Schistosoma haematobium scaffold677_27, whole genome shotgun sequence.
GCACCGUUGAGGAAUCCCACAAUAGAACGAAACAGCCGUCCGGUAC